UCCUACGGGGGGCAGCAGUGGGGAAUAUUGGUCAAUGGUCGGGAGACUGAACCAGCCAAGCCGCGUGAGGGAGGAAGGUACAGAGUAUCGUAAACCUCUUUUGUCAGGGAACAAAGGCGGGGACGUGUCCCCGGAUGAGUGUACCUGAAGAAAAAGCAUCGGCUAACUCCGUGCCAGCAGCCGCGGUAAUACGGAGGAUGCGAGCGGUAUCCGGAUUUAUUGGGUUUAAAGGGUGCGCAGGCGGUCUGUUAAGUCAGCUGUCAAAGCCCGGGGCUCAACCCCGGCCCGCCGUUGAAACUGGCAGG
rnacentral:rRNA from 1 species